rnacentral:rRNA from 1 species
GCCUAACACAUGCAAGUCGAACGAAGGCUUCGGCCUUAGUGGCGCACGGGUGCGUAACGCGUGGGAAUCUGCCCUCAGGUUCGGAAUAACAGCGAGAAAUUGCUGCUAAUACCGGAUGAUAUCGCGAGAUCAAAGAUUUAUCGCCUGAGGAUGAGCCCGCGUAGGAUUAGCUAGUUGGUGUGGUAAAGGCGCACCAAGGCGACGAUCCUUAGCUGGUCUGAGAGGAUGAUCAGCCACACUGGGACUGAGACACGGCCCAGACUCCUACGGGAGGCAGCAGUGGGGAAUAUUGGACAAUGGGCGAAAGCCUGAUCCAGCAAUGCCGCGUGAGUGAUGAAGGCCUUAGGGUUGUAAAGCUCUUUUACCCGGGAUGAUAAUGACAGUACCGGGAGAAUAAGCUCCGGCUAACUCCGUGCCAGCAGCCGCGGUAAUACGGAGGGAGCUAGCGUUAUUCGGAAUUACUGGGCGUAAAGCGCACGUAGGCGGCUUUGUAAGUUAGAGGUGAAAGCCUGGAGCUCAACUCCAGAAUUGCCUUUAAGACUGCAUCGCUUGAAUCCAGGAGAGGUGAGUGGAAUUCCGAGUGUAGAGGUGAAAUUCGUAGAUAUUCGGAAGAACACCAGUGGCGAAGGCGGCUCACUGGACUGGUAUUGACGCUGAGGUGCGAAAGCGUGGGG